AGUGAACGCUGGCGGUAGGCCUAACACAUGCAAGUCGAACGGCAGCACAGGAGAGCUUGCUCUCUGGGUGGCGAGUGGCGGACGUGUGAGGAAUACAUCGGAAUCUACUUUUUCGUGGGGGAUAACGUAGGGAAACUUAUGCUAAUACCGCAUACGACCUACGGGCGAAAGCAGGGGAUCUUCGGACCUUGCGCGAUUGAAUGAGCCGAUGUCGGAUUAGAUAGUUGGCGGGUGAAAGGCCCACCAAGGCGACGAUCCGUAGCUGGUCUGAGAGGAUGAUCAGCCACACUGGAACUGAGACACGGUCCAGACUCCUACGGGAGGCAGCAGUGGGGAAUAUUGGACAAUGGGCGCAAGCCUGAUCCAACCAUACCGCGUGGGUGAAGAAGGCCUUCGGGUUGUAAAGCCCUUUUGUUGGGAAAGAAAUCCAGCUGGUUAAUACCCGGUUGGGAUGACGGUACCCAAAGAAUAAGCACCGGCUAACUUCGUGCCAGCCGCCGCGGUAA
rnacentral:rRNA from 1 species